AAAAAAGUAGGGAAGUGUGUGAGCCAUGAAUCAAGAAAAGCUGCUAUUGUUUUUAAGAUACCCGUACCGUAAACCGACACAGGUGGAUGAGGAGAGAAUCCUAAGGCCGGCGGAAGAAGCAUUGUUAAGGAACUCGGCAAAAUGACCCCGUAACUUCGGGAGAAGGGGUGCCAACGAGAGUUGGCCGCAGAGAAUAGGCUCAAGCAACUGUUUAGCAAAAACACAGGUCUAUGCAAAACCGUAAGGUGAGGUAUAUGGGCUGACGCCUGCCCGGUGCUGGAAGGUUAAGAGGAGAGGUUAGCGGUAACGCGAAGCUUUGAAUUUAAGCCCCAGUAAACGGCGGCCGUAACGAUAACGGUCCUAAGGUAGCGAAAUUCCUUGUCGGGUAAGUUCCGACCCGCACGAAAGGCGUAAUGAUUUGAGCGCUGUCUCGACAAUGCAUCCGGUGAAAUUGAAGUACCAGUGAAGAUGCUGGUUACCCGCGCCAGGACGGAAAGACCCCAUGGAGCUUUACUCCAGUUUGGUACUGGGGUCCGGCAGUGCAUGUACAGGAUAGGUGGGAGGCUGUGAACCUGGAACGCCAGUUUCAGGGGAGCCAUUGUUGGGAUACCACCCUUGUGCUGCUGGGCUUCUAACCAGCGGCCUUUAUCAGGCCGGGGGACAAUGCCAGACGGGGAGUUUGACUGGGGCGGUCGCCUCCGAAAGGGUAUCGGAGGCGCUCAAAGGUUCCCUCAGAAUGGUCGGAAACCAUUCGAAGAGUGCAAAGGCAGAAGGGAGCUUGACUGCGACACCGACGGGUGGAGCAGGUACGAAAGUAGGACUUAGUGAUCCGGUGGUAUUAAGUGGGAAUGCCAUCGCUCAACGGAUAAAAGCUACCCUGGGGAUAACAGGCUUAUCACUCCCAAGAGUUCACAUCGACGGAGUGGUUUGGCACCUCGAUGUCGGCUCAUCGCAUCCUGGGGCUGUAGUAGGUCCCAAGGGUUGGGCUGUUCGCCCAUUAAAGCGGUACGCGAGCUGGGUUCAGAACGUCGUGAGACAGUUCGGUCCCUAUCCGGCGUGGGCGUAGGAUAUUUGAGAGGAGCUGUCCUUAGUACGAGAGGACCGGGAUGGACUGACCUCUGGUGUACCGGUUGAACCGCCAGGUUCACGGCCGGGUAGCCAAGUCGGGAAGGGAUAAACGCUGAAGGCAUCUAAGCGUGAAGCCCCCCUCAAGAUGAGAUAUCCCAUUCGAAAGAAGUAAGACCCCUUGAAGACGACGAGGUAGAUAGGGCAGGGGUGGAAGUGCCGUAAGGCAUGGAGCUGACUGUUACUAAUCGGUCGAGGGCUUGACC
rnacentral:rRNA from 1 species